rnacentral:lncRNA from 1 species
CAUGGCCUUCGUGGUGUCCGUCGCCGUGUCCAUGGUGGUGUCCAUCGCGGUGUCCGUCGGCGUGUCUGCCGCGGCCCUGAAGGCCCCUCACCUGUCCUGUGCGGCCCUGCGGCUGCCCGCAACCCCGCCGCCCCGGCUCCCCUCUCGCCAUCCGCCGACCUAAGCCUCUGCACCCGACCCCGAGACGGGUUCUCCCCGCAAACCCCGCAUCCCUCCUCCCUGGGUGGCUCAUCCACAUUGACCCACACGGACAGAAGCUUGUUUCUACCGCGCCCCCGGGGGCUCCAUGGCAGAGCGUUGCCUGCAGCCCAGCGCGUGACCCCGGGUCCCGGCAUCGAGGCCCGCGGCGGGCUCCCGGCGUAGGGCCUGCGUCUCGGCCUCUCUCUGCGUCUCUCAGGAAAUCAACACAUAAAAUCUUAAAUUUAAAAAACAUAAAUAAAUAAAUAAAAUAAAAGAGCCCAUGUCCUCGACCCUCAGCUUUCCCAGAGCAGGAGGACUUAAGGGGCUCGCCUGCACCGCGCUUGGGCCUCCGGCGGACGACGAGCCGAGCCAAGGCCGCCGGCUGCUCGCUGAGGAGACCAGUCGCCAGCCGCACGCUUCCGGCCGAGCUUCCGGUCCCUGCCGAGUUUCCGGUUCCGGCCGAGCGUCGGGCUCGCCGAGGCCCACUCUUCCUUGCGUUUCGGAAACGGGAAGCGCGACAGCUUCGUGUAAAAUCACCUGUUCCACACUGGCUUUCUCAUCAUCUGAAAUUCCCAGGAACCUCAACAUACAGUUGUAAAGCUUUUUUUACAGAACGCUUGAAAUGCCAUCUCAAUAAUACCUUAACAAAUCCUGUGAUUUUGGAAGGAUGAAUUAUUACUGCCUCCCUGAGAUGACUCAUCCAGUGUCUCCUUUAUACCUGUUACAACAGUUGUGAACUAGGGGUGUGAACUGUGGGGAGGGAGGUGAGCUUUUACGAGGUUGGUUGGGCGAAGAGUUUGAACUUCUCUUAAAGGUAUGGGAUGCCAAGACAGGACUGAGAUCAUGGAAGGGCAUUCUAGAAAGAUCAUUCUAGUAGCAAUGUGUAGGAUGGGUUAAAGCAGGAUGGGGGCAGAGCUGAUGCGGGGAGAGUACACCCAAAAGCUGGUAAGCGCUUGGGCGAAGGAACAGGCAUUGAGAACAGUGAAGGGAUGGAUUCAGAAGUAAGAAACCAAAGGCCCUGAGACAAAGUGAAUAUACAGAGUAUGAGAAAAAUCCAGACUAUCUGAGAGCCUUGGAAAUUGCAUGGAAUAUGCUGCACAGUAAAUACAGCUGACCCUUGAGCAAUGUGGGUUUGAUCUGUGCAGGUCCAUCUACACUGGAAAUCUUUUUUUUUUUUUAUAAACACAGUACUGAAAAUGAUUUUAAUAACAUUCUCUUUCCUCUAGCUUACUUUAAGAAUGUAUGUAACAGUAUGUAACAUAGAAAAUACGUGUUAGUCGGCUAUGUUAUUGGUAAGGGUUCUGGUCAACAGUAAGCUAUAUUAUCUAUAUUAUGCUCUAGUUGCUCCAUCAUUAAAAUGUAUAUUUUAAAAUGUAUAUUCUUUCUUAAUUAAAAUGUAGCUCAAAAUUCCUAAACAGUAUCCCUUCUAAUAACAUGUG